rnacentral:rRNA from 1 species
UACAGAGGGGGCAAGCGUUGUUCGGAAUUACUGGGCGUAAAGGGCGCGUAGGCGGCCUGCUAAGUCGAUCGUGAAAUCCCCGGGCUUAACCCGGGAACUGCGACCGAUACUGGUUGGCUUGAAUUCGGGAGAGGGAUGCGGAAUUCCAGGUGUAGCGGUGAAAUGCGUAGAUAUCUGGAGGAACACCGGUGGCGAAGGCGGCAUCCUGGGCCGAUACUGACGCUGAGGAGCGAAAGCCAGGGGAGCAAACAGG